ACAACAACAGUUAAAUCUUUUCGUAUAAUUCCGGGAAUCGGCCCGGAAGUCUCUACGAGGUCACCGUAAAUGAUCUUGCUACGAAGAGAAGAAGCGGCGCA
rnacentral:ncRNA from 1 species